rnacentral:rRNA from 1 species
GUCGAGGGGUAACGUGAGUGCUUGCACUUGACGACGACCGGCGCACGGGUGCGGAACGCGUAUGGAACCUACCUUUAUCAGGGGGAUAGCCCAUGGAAACGUGGAUUAAUACCCCAUAGUAUUAUUUCAUUGCAUGAUGAUUUAAUUAAAGAAUUUCGGAUAGAGAUGGCCAUGCGUAUCAUUAGCUAGUAGGCGAGGUAACGGCUCACCUAGGCGACGAUGAUUAGGGGUCCUGAGAGGGAGAUCCCCCACACUGGUACUGAGACACGGACCAGACUCCUACGGGAGGCAGCAGUGAGGAAUAUUGGGCAAUGGAGGCAACUCUGACCCAGCCAUGCCGCGUGCAGGAAGACGGCCCUAUGGGUUGUAAACUGCUUUUAUACAGGAAGAACACCACCCACGUGUGGGUGACUGACGGUACUGUAAGAAUAAGGACCGGCUAACUCCGUGCCAGCAGCCGCGGUAAUACGGAGGGUCCAAGCGUUAUCCGGAAUCAUUGGGUUUAAAGGGUCCGUAGGCGGGCUAAUAAGUCAGAGGUGAAAGUUUGCAGCUCAACUGUAAAAUUGCCUUUGAUACUGUUAGUCUUGAGUUAUAGUGAAGUGGUUAGAAUAAGUGGUGUAGCGGUGAAAUGCAUAGAUAUCACUUAGAAUACCGAUUGCGAAGGCAGAUCACUAACUGUAUACUGACGCUGAGGGACGAAAGCAUGGGUAGCGAACGGGAUUAGAUACCCCGGUAGUCCAUGCUGUAAACGAUGGAUACUAGCUGUUGGCUUCGGUCAGUGGCUAAGCGAAAGUGAUAAGUAUCCCACCUGGGGAGUACGUUCGCAAGAAUGAAACUCAAAGGAAUUGACGGGGGCCCGCACAAGCGGUGGAGCAUGUGGUUUAAUUCGAUGAUACGCG